AGAGACUUCGUCACGUAUUUGGAAGACAUGAUUCAGAGUUCUGAAAAACCUGGUGAAAAGGUCCUGGAAUAAGUUAAAUUGGCAAGCCAUUUCUAAAGGAAUUACCCAAUAAUAUUUUUGGUGAGCCAGCCAGGAGAGUAAAGCUAAGGUACCAGGAGACCAAGGCCCUAAGCUGAGCCAAUGGGAAACCUCUUGGACCGCAUCACCAUGCAGAUUCUACUGACUUCAUCACUAGGCCAUAUCCCUGAUGAAUGGGAAAGAUUUGAUCCUGAGGAUUUAAAACAAGAACGGGGAAGAAUAGGAAAAUAUAAAGAAAUUGGAUUAAAGCAAAACCAAAACCAGCAAGGCAAAUAUUAAAUCCUGUAACUCCAUGCUCAAGACCCAGGGCAA